rnacentral:rRNA from 1 species
AGCGAACGCUGGCGGCAGGCCUAACACAUGCAAGUCGAACGAACCCUUCGGGGUUAGUGGCGGACGGGUGAGUAACACGUGGGAACGUGCCUUUAGGGUCGGAAUAACUCAGGGAAACUUGUGCUAAUACCGAAUGUGCCCUUCGGGGGAAAGAUUUAUCGCCUUUAGAGCGGCCCGCGUCUGAGUAGCUAGUUGGUGAGGUAAAGGCUUACCAAGGCUAUGAACAGUAGCUGGUCUGAGAGGAAGACCAGCCACAUUGAGACGAAGACACGGCCCAAACUCCUACGGGAGGCAGAAGUGGGGAAUCUUGCGCAAUGGGCGAAAGCCUGACGCAGCCAUGCCGCGUGGAUGAUGAAGGUCUUAGGAUUGUAAAAUCCUUUCACCGGAGAAGAUAAUGACUGUAGCCGGAGAAGAAGCCCCGGCUAACUUCGUGCCAGCCGCCGCCGUAACAC